rnacentral:rRNA from 1 species
CCUGAGAAACCCAAAAGAUCGAAUGGGGAGAUUCAUCGUCAGCUCAUUUUGUAUAUAUGCAAGUUGUGAUAUGGGUUACUACUUGUAGUAUUGCCUGUACAUUCUUGUAUAUUUAUUUGCAAGAUGUUGUCGGCGUGCACUUCUCCCCUAGUAGGACAUCGCGACCCGUUGAUUAUCAAUCUAUGGCCCAAGUGGAAGCUUUUAAUAAAUUUUAUUUAUUGAAAACCCUUGGUGUUUCCUGAUUGUCAAUCGUCGGUAUUCGUAUGGUAUUGAGCCGCAAUUUAUAUGCGUCUAUAUCCAUCACAAGCCAGAUUAAUUAUUGAUAGUACGGACUUAGUGCCGUCGUUGGUAUUAAUCAGCUGUUGGUUGUAUGGAAUUCUAAGACUGGCUCUUAUAUUAUCGGUCAGCGAUGCUACUGCUUUGGGUACUUUCAGGACCCGUCUUGAAACACGGACCAAGGAGUCUAACAUGUACGCAAGUCAUUGGGAUUUUUAUAAAUUAAACCUAAAGGCGUAAUGAAAGUAAAGGUCAAUCUUGUAUUGACUAAAGGAAGAUAAAUUGUAUUUACGAAAACAAUUUCGCAUUCCUGGGGCGNCUCAUUCUCAUUAUGAGAAGAGGCGCACCUAG